GGCUCAGGACGAACGGCUUGGCGGCGUGCCUAACACAUGCAAGUCGAACGGGUGAGAGGAGCUUGCUCCUCGAUCUAGUGGCGAACGGGUGAGUAACGCGUGAGAAACCUGCCUUUCAGUGGGGGACAACAGUUGGAAACGACUGCUAAUACCGCAUAACGUGCCAGAGGGGCAUCCCUCUGGUACCAAAGCUUUAUGUGCUGAAAGAUGGUCUCGCGUCUGAUUAGCUAGUUGGUGAGGUAACGGCUCACCAAGGCGACGAUCAGUAGCCGGUCUGAGAGGAUGAACGGGCCACAUUGGGACUGAGAUACGGCCCAGACUCCUACGGGAGGCAGCAGUGGGGAAUAUUGGGCAAUGGGGGAAACCCUGACCCAGCAACGCCGCGUGAAGGAAGAAGGCCUUCGGGUUGUAAACUUCUUUUAGCAGGGACGAAGGACGUGACGGUACCUGCAGAAAAAGCAACGGCUAACUACGUG
rnacentral:rRNA from 1 species